rnacentral:tRNA from 1 species
GCGGGUGUGGUUUAGUGGUAAAAUGCUUCCUUCCCAAGGAAGAGAUUGUGGGUUCGAUUCCCAUCACCCGCU